UAAUUUCAAAUGUAAAUAAUUAAAUUAACUAAUCAGUGUUAUAUUAAGUUGAAGUGAUGUAAUGAUGGUAAAUUAUGAAACAAAUAAUGGUAUGGAAAUAAUUCAAACAAUAUUGGAAGAUUUGUUCAGCUGAAGAAGUGUAGAUUAUCCACGUGCAACGAACCUAGCCAAAUAUUUUAAUUAUUUUACAGGACUGUAGUCAGUGUAUCAAUAGUGCUAUGAAAAUUUUUCAAUCAAUGAAUGCGAAGUACCAAAUAGAUAAUGUAAUCAUCUAAGAUCGUCGUCAAGUAUAGCUAUUGUGAUGAAAAAAAAAUUUUUUAAUUCAACAUAGCAACUCGAAUAAGCCAAUGAAAUAUGAAGAUAUAUGUGUAUGAGAAAAGUGAAUAGUGACUGUCAGUCGAUGAUAUACUUUCAGAAUUUUUGACAACUUUGAAUCGGCGAAAAUAUUUCAU